UACGGAGGGGGUUAGCGUUGUUCGGAAUUACUGGGCGUAAAGCGUACGUAGGCGGAUUAGUCAGUCAGAGGUGAAAUCCCAGGGCUCAACCCUGGAACUGCCUUUGAUACUGCUUGGCUCGAGACCGGAAGAGGGUAGUGGAAUUCCCAGUGUAGAGGUGAAAUUCGUAGAUAUUGGGAAGAACACCAGUGGCGAAGGCGGCUCACUGGCUCGAUACUGACGCUGAGGUGCGAAAGUGUGGGGAGCAAACAGG
rnacentral:rRNA from 1 species